GGGGAAUAUUGGACAAUGGGCGAAAGCCUGAUCCAGCAACGCCGCGUGAGUGAAUAAGGCCUUAGGGUUGUAAAGCUCUUUUAGUGAGGAAGAUAAUGACGGUACUCACAGAAAAAGCCCCGGCUAACUUCGUGCCAGCAGCCGCGGUAAUACGAAGGGGGCUAGCGUUACUCGGAAUUAUUGGGCGUAAAGCGUGCGCAGGCUGCAUAGUAAGUUAGGAGUGAAAUCCUUAGGCUCAACCUAAGAACUGCUUCUAAUACUGCUGUGCUUGAGUUCUAAAGAGGAUAGUGGAAUUCCUAGUGUAGAGGUGAAAUUCGUGGAUAUUAGGAGGAACACCAGUGGCGAAAGCGGCUAUCUGGUUAGAUACUGACGCUGUUGCACGAAAGCGUGGGGAGCAAAC
rnacentral:rRNA from 1 species